AACUGUGUUUACGGAAGCGAACAUGGCAGCGGCAACAGGACUUUAUGGUCUUAUGUUAAAAACAAUGUUUGGCGGCAGCCGGCAAAUUUGUGAGCGGGCGCUAUGGAUAAGGAAGAAGAGGAGAAAGAAAAUCAAUGUUUUAAUGAUGGCUUUGUGCGGAGCAAUGGCUGCAACAUCCGUACAGAGGAGUAUGUGGAUGCGCUGUCGGAGCCAGGAGUGGUGGGAUCGGGAUGUGACUGGUUUCACAGAUCAGGAUUUCUUCCAGAACUUCAGAAUGUCGAGGAAUACCUUUCACUACAUUUGUCAGCGCCUGUCCUCGAGACUGUCGAGGCGAGAUACGUCGUUCAGGAGAUCCAUCUCCUUGAGAAAGCGAGUAGGAGUGGGGCUAUAUUGGUUAGCAACAGGGACGGGUUACCGCACCUUGGCCAACCUGUUUGGCAUCGCCAAGUCCUCCGUUUGUUCUAUUGUCCAUGACUUUUGCAAAGCUGUUCAUCAUGUCCUCAUGCCUGACUACAUUAAACUACCCCAGGGAGACGAUCUCCAGGAGGUGCUGCAGGGCUUCAGACAGAGGUGGGGGUUCCCCCAGUGUGCUGGGCGAUCGACAGGAGUCACAUCCCCAUAAUUGCACCUGAAGAAAAUCAUGUUGACUAUUUCAACCGUAAAGGCUGGCACUCUGUCAUCCUACAAGGCGUUGUUGAUCACCAGUUCUGUUUCACCAACAUCUACACUGGAUGGCCUGGAAGCGUUCACGACGCCAGGGUUCUCAAGAACUCCAGGAUCUACACAAUGGCAGAGAGAGGGGAGCUUUUUCCAGCGGACACUGAAGAGAUCAAUGGCGUCCAAGUCCCAAUAAUGCUGCUUGGUGAUCCUGCAUACCCCCUGCGAACCUGGCUGCUCAAAGGAUACACGGACUCCGGGGCUCUGACAGAUCAGCAAAGAUAUUUCAACGAGCAACACAGCAGGGCAAGAAUGACAGUUGAAUGUGCCUUUGGGCGACUUAAGGGGCGAUGGAGGUGCCUCGGUAAGCGCCUGGAUGUGGACAUUUCCUCUGUCCCCACCAUCAUAAGUGCAUGUUGUACACUCCACAACAUAUGUGAGAAACAUGGUGAAGCAUAUGAAGAACCUGCUCAAGCUGCACCAUGGGAUGAAAGAACAGCAGAUGGAGGAGCACAAGAUACUGCUCACCCAGCAAGAGUCAGGGAGGCCUUGACAGAACUCUUCUACAGCCAGCGUUGAACUAUAUCAGCACUCACUAUUCACCCUCACAUUUAAAUGGUUUUGGAAGAACAUAAGAACCAGGUGACUUUUCUUUGUCAAAAAUAGUAACUUUAUUUUACUGUUGAUAAUAACAUUCUCCAAAUAUUAAAUUAAAUAAAGUACAUGUAGUGCAAAACACAAGAUGUCAGGUUUGUCCUGUGCAACAAUGUGCGAGAAUGAAAUAAAA